UGUAUAUUAGUGUUUUAUGCACAAGAAGUUUUGAUCUUCUUAGUAUUGGAUUUAUCCUCUAUAUACAA
rnacentral:tRNA from 1 species